rnacentral:rRNA from 1 species
CCGGCGCGUCCUUCCACCCGGAGACCGCGCCUACUCUUAACUGAGCGGGCGCGGGAGACGGGUCUUUUACUUUGAAAAAAUCAGAGUGUUUCAAGCAGGCAGUCGCUCUUGCAUGGAUUAGCAUGGGAUAAUGAAAUAGGACUCUGGUGCUAUUUUGUUGGUUUCGAACACCGGAGUAAUGAUUAACAGGGACAGUCAGGGGCACUCGUAUUCCGCCGAGAGAGGUGAAAUUCUCAGACCAGCGGAAGACGAACCACUGCGAAAGCAUUUGCCAGGGAUGUUUUCACUGAUCAAGAACGAAAGUUAGGGGAUCGAAGACGAUCAGAUACCGUCGUAGUCUUAACCAUAAACCAUGCCGACUAGGGAUUGGAGGAUGUUCCAUUUGUGACUCCUUCAGCACCUUUCGGGAAACUAAAGUCUUUGGGUUCCGGGGGGAGUAUGGUCGCAAGGCUGAAACUUAAAGGAAUUGACGGAAGGGCACCACCAGGAGUGGAGCCUGCGGCUUAAUUUGACUCAACACGGGGAAACUUACCAGGUCCAGACAUUGUGAGGAUUGACAGAUUGAGAGCUCUUUCUUGAUUCGAUGGGUGGUGGUGCAUGGCCGUUCUUAGUUGGUGGAGUGAUUUGUCUGGUUAAUUCCGUUA